GGAGAGAUGGAUGAGUGGUUUAAAUCAACAGUUUACUAAACUGUCGAACCGCAAGGUUCCGUGGGUUCGAAUCCCACUCUCUCCGCCA
rnacentral:tRNA from 1 species